AGUUCGGAUUGAGGCUGAAAUUCGCCUCCAUGAAGUUGGAUUCGCUAGUAAUCGCGCAUCAGCCAUGGCGCGGUGAAUACGUUCCCGGGCCUUGUACACACCGCCCGUCAAGCCAUGGAAGCUGGGGGUGCCUGAAGUUCGUGACCGGAAGGAGCGACCUAGGGCAAAACCGGUGACUGGGGCUAAGUCGUAACAAGGUAAC
rnacentral:rRNA from 1 species